rnacentral:lncRNA from 1 species
UGGGUAACUAACUCUGUCGUUGAAGAAAGUGUGAAUGGUUACGUCGCGUCCUUGUCGUACCUGGUACCACCCCGUCAUAGUUUGUGAUACUCCUUAUGCGGCAGCCUCUAUCGUGCGCAUCGACGAACCGUGAACACGUAUAGGUAGAUAUUGGUUGAGGCCACAACUUGAACCUUUUUAACCGCAUCGUUUGUCUGACUUCCCUAUAACGUGAUGGUCAUGCUAUAGUGUUCUCCUUUCCCUUGCAUACUAUGGAUGACUACUAUGCAUACGAUUGCGUUAUCUCGGGUGAAUAUAAAGAGCGAAAGUUUUUGAGCAAAAAUCAGUUCGUCUUCGGCGCAACAACCAGCAACAACAAGAUCAUUCGAUCUUUUACCCACUCGCACUAAAAUUCAAGCUGAUAAAAUGAUCAUGAAGGUGGCAUUGGCUUUCCUACUGUGUUUGGUUUCUUUGACGAUUGUCAAAGGUGCUCCUUCACCAACUGACCAGGAAGUUCUUGACGCUGCUGUUAUAGAAAAUCAACCUGGUGAGGUAGCGGUAGUUGCGCCGAUUGAAUCUGCUGAAUACGCUCAGCAGCCCUUUGAAGAAAAUGAGUCCUUGGAACCUUCAGCCACUCACCAUAAACGUUACUACUACCCUCAUUACUACCCUCAUUAUUACCCUCAUUAUUACCCUAGAUAUCACUACCCCGGAUACUAUUACUAGAGGACUCUUUACUGGCCGAUCAGUAUUGCUUCAGCAGUAAAACAUCAACUAAUUCUACGACACCAUUUCUUCCAUCAGUCGAUUAUAUACAAUCAAUCAGCAAUACUCGCCAUGUAGUCCUUCUCCACCACUGACGACGAAACAAACGUGUUAAACUCUAAAUCCUUUCCCCUUUUUUACUCUUUGUAGUCGCAAUAUUGUAAUGCGCGACUUUUGGAAAAAUAAAAUCUUUUCAAGCAUUGA